rnacentral:rRNA from 1 species
CUUUUGACCUCGGAUCAGGUAGGGAUACCCGCUGAACUUAAAACAUAUAAAUAAGCGGAGGAAAAGAA